rnacentral:rRNA from 1 species
GAUGAACGCUGGCGGCGUGCCUAAUUCAUGCAAGUCGAGCGAACGGACGAGAAGCUUGCUUCUCUGAUGCUAGCGGCGGACGGGCGAGUAACACGUGGAUAACCUACCUACAAGACUGGGAUAACUCCGGGAAACCGUAGCUAAUACCGGAUAAUAUUUUGAACCGCAUGGUUCAAAAAUGAAAGACGGUCUUGCUGUCACUUAUAGAUGGAUCCGCGCUGCAUUAGCUAGUUGGUAAGGUAACGGCUUACCAAGGCAACGAUGCAUAGCCGACCUGAGAGGGUGAUCGGCCACACUGGAACUGAGACACGGUCCAGACUCCUACGGGAGGCAGCAGUAGGGAAUCUUCCGCAAUGGGCGAAAGCCUGACGGAGCAACGCCGCGUGAGUGACGAAGGUCUUCGGAUCGUAAAACUCUGUUAUUAGGGAAGAACAUAUGUGUAAGUAACUGUGCACAUCUUGACGGUACCUAAUCAGAAAGCCACGGCUAACUACGUG